CCUACGGUCGGCAGCAGUGGGGAAUAUUGGGCAAUGGGCGCAAGCCUGACCCAGCAACGCCGCGUGAGGGAAGAAGUCUUUCGGGAUGUAAAGCUCUGUCAGCAGGGAAGAGUAAUAGACGGUACCGGACGAAUAACACACGGUUAACUAGGUGCCAGCAGCUGCGGAAAGACGAAGGUGGCAAGCGUUUUCCGGAUUUACUGGGGGUAAAGGGGGUGUAGCCGGGUUUGCAAGGCAGAUGUGAAAUCCCGGGGCUCAACCGCGGAACUGCAUUGGAAACUGGUGAACUGGGGUGCUGGAGAGGCAAGCGGAAUUCCUGGUGUAGCGGUGAAAUGCGUAGAUAUCAGGAGGAACACCAGUGGCGAAGGUGGUUUACUGGACGACGACUGACGGUGAGGCUCGAAAGCGUGGGGAGCAAACAGGAUUAGAUACCCUGGUAGUC
rnacentral:rRNA from 1 species